UCUGGAAACCACUACAGCUGCCCAUGAUUCAGUCCCCUGAGGCCUGCUCCCACAGUGAGAGGAAUGAGAUCAGUAGGGGCUUGAGACAACAGAAUUAGCAAAUUCAAUUCACAUUCAAGCCAAGAUAUAACCCAUAAUGUAAUUGGUCCUCUUCAAAAAGGAAGGACGAACACAACAAUAAUUCCUAGAUGCAAGCAAGCAAGGUACUGAAGAUACAGAAGCAAAAAUGAAACUCUCUUUGGACUCAAGAAGCUUAUACCCUAUUAGGAAAG